AUCACAUAUGAUAUAGAAUAGACAUCCAAAUUAAGCAAGGAAUCCCUGAAUCAUGCACAAUCAAUAGCAUUACUCAUACUUACUGAAACUUACAAAGUAGUCUUUUUGAAGAUCCAAGAAAUUACAGGACUU
rnacentral:misc_RNA from 1 species